AUAACAUUCGGACCGUCGGUCUACGAAGCGAUUACACCAGCUCAGUCAAAGUUCUUCUCUUUGUCGU
rnacentral:pre_miRNA from 1 species